rnacentral:rRNA from 1 species
UACGUAGGGUGCAAGCGUUAUCCGGAUUUAUUGGGCUUAAAGGGUGCGUAGGCGGCCCUGUGAGUCUGUGGUGAAAUACUCCAGCUUAACUGGAGGGGUGCCAUUGAUACUGCAGGGCUUGAGUUAAGUUGAAGUUGGCGGAAUUGACGGUGUAGCGGUGAAAUGCUUAGAUAUCGUCAAGAACACCGAUAGUGAAGACAGCUAACUAAGCAUUUACUGACGCUGAGGCACGAAAGCAUGGGGAGCAAACAGG